rnacentral:rRNA from 1 species
GCAGCCGCCGCGGUAAUACGAAGGGGGCUAGCGUUGCUCGGAAUGACUGGGCGUAAAGGGCGCGUAGGCGGCGAUCAAAGUCAGGCGUGAAAUUCCUGGGCUCAACCUGGGGGCUGCGCUUGAUACUUGGUUGCUUGAGUGGGGAAGAGGGUCGUGGAAUUCCCAGUGUAGAGGUGAAAUUCGUAGAUAUUGGGAAGAACACCGGUGGCGAAGGCGGCGACCUGGUCCUUGACUGACGCUGAGGCGCGAAAGCGUGGGGAGCAAACAGGAUUAGAUACCCCGGUAGUCCCUGUCUCUUAUAC